GCAGCAGCCGCGGUAAUACGUAGGUCCCGAGCGUUGUCCGGAUUUAUUGGGCGUAAAGCGAGCGCAGGCGAUUAGAUAAGUCUGAAGUUAAAGGCUGUGGCUUAACCAUAGUACGCUUUGGAAACUGUUUAACUUGAGUGCAAGAGGGGAGAGUGGAAUUCCAUGUGUAGCGGUGAAAUGCGUAGAUAUAUGGAGGAACACCGGUGGCGAAAGCGGCUCUCUGGCUUGUAACCGACGCUGAGGCUCGAAAGCGUGGGGAGCAAACAGGAUUAGAGACCCGUGUAGUCCCUGUCUCUUAUACA
rnacentral:rRNA from 1 species